rnacentral:rRNA from 1 species
AGAGUUUGAUCCUGGCUCAGAUUGAACGCUGGCGGCAUGCUUUACACAUGCAAGUCGAACGGUAACAGGUUAAGCUGACGAGUGGCGAACGGGUGAGUAAUGCAUCGGAACGUGCCCGGUCGUGGGGGAUAACGCAGCGAAAGCUGCGCUAAUACCGCAUACGAUCUGAGGAUGAAAGCGGGGGACCGUAAGGCCUCGCGCGAUCGGAGCGGCCGAUGUCAGAUUAGGUAGUUGGUGGGGUAAAGGCUCACCAAGCCGACGAUCUGUAGCUGGUCUGAGAGGACGACCAGCCACACUGGGACUGAGACACGGCCCAGACUCCUACGGGAGGCAGCAGUGGGGAAUUUUGGACAAUGGGCGCAAGCCUGAUCCAGCAAUGCCGCGUGCAGGAAGAAGGCCUUCGGGCUGUAAACUGCUUUUGUACGGAGCGAAAAGGCUCUCUCUAAUACAGGGGGCUCAUGACGGUACCGUAAGAAUAAGCACCGGCUAACUACGUGCCAGCAGCCGCGGUAAUACGUAGGGUGCAAGCGUUAAUCGGAAUUACUGGACGUAAAGCGUGCGCAGGCGGUUUUGUAAGACAGGCGUGAAAUCCCCGGGCUCAACCUGGGAAUGGCGCUUGUGACUGCAAGGCUGGAGUGCGGCAGAGGGGGAUGGAAUUCCGCGUGUAGCAGUGAAAUGCGUAGAUAUGCGGAGGAACACCGAUGGCGAAGGCAAUCCCCUGGGCCUGCACUGACGCUCAUGCACGAAAGCGUGGGGAGCAAACAGGAUUAGAUACCCUGGUAGUCCACGCCCUAAACGAUGUCAACUGGUUGUUGGGUCUUUACUGACUCAGUAACGAAGCUAACGCGUGAAGUUGACCGCCUGGGGAGUACGGCCGCAAGG